rnacentral:rRNA from 1 species
GACGAACGCUGGCGGCGUGCUUAACACAUGCAAGUCGAACGGAAAGGCCCUGCUUUUGUGGGGUGCUCGAGUGGCGAACGGGUGAGUAACACGUGAGUAACCUGCCCUUGACUUUGGGAUAACUUCAUGAAACUGGGGCUAAUACCGGAUAGGAGCUCCUGCUGCAUGGUGGGGGUUGGAAAGUUUCGGCGGUUGGGGAUGGACUCGCGGCUUAUCAGCUUGUUGGUGGGGUAGUGGCUUACCAAGGCUUUGACGGGUAGCCGGCCUGCGAGGGUGACCGGGCACAUUGGGACUGAGAUACGGCCCAGACUCCUACGGGAGGCAGCAGUGGGGAAUAUUGCACAAUGGGCGGAAGCCUGAUGCAGCAACGCCGCGUGCGGGAUGACGGCCUUCGGGUUGUAAACCGCUUUCGCCUGUGACGAAGCGUGAGUGACGGUAAUGGGUAAAGAAGCACCGGCUAACUACGUG